rnacentral:rRNA from 1 species
GACGUGGGGCGCGAGCGUUGUCCGGAUUUAUUGGGCGUAAAGAGCUCGUAGGCGGCUUGUCGCGUCGACUGUGAAAACCCGCGGCUCGACCGCGGGCCUGCAUUCGAUACGGGCAGGCUAGAGUUCGGUAGGGGAGACUGGAAUUCCAGGUGUAGCGGUGAAAUGCGCAGAUAUCAGGAGGAACACCAAUGGCGAAGGCAGAUCUCUGGGCCGUAACUGACGCUGAGGAGCGAAAGCAUGGGGAGCGAACAGG